AAGCUCGUAGUUGAAUUUCGGGGUUAGUAGGUUGGUCAUGCCUCUGGUAUGUACUGGUCUCACUGAUUCCUCCUUCCUUAUGAACCGUAAUGCCAUUAAUUUGGUGUUGCGGGGGAUUUUGGACUGUUACUUUGAAAAAAUUAGAGUGUUUAAAGCAAGCUAACGCUUGAAUACAUUAGCAUGGAAUAACGAAAUAGGACGUUCGAUCUUAUUUUGUUGGUUUCUUAGGAUUGACGUAAUGAUUAAUAGGGAUAGUUGGG
rnacentral:rRNA from 1 species